CGGAAGCGCAGGCCGUGCGCCCUCGCCCUUCCACCCCGCGCCUCACGGUUGUAUUAAGCUUCCCCCGGGGGUUGUGGCCGCUGUUCCUGCCGCACGCUGCGCUGGCGGCCAGGCCAGUGGCCGUGUUUGGGACUGGGAAGGGAAUUAAUGAAGAAGGAAAGAGUAAUGGCAAUCCUCAAGACUUUACCUUGAUGAAUAUACCUCUGGGCCUACAAUGUCAACGAGGAUGAAAAGUUGGUGUCACCACUCACAUCAGUAAUGGUAGGGAUGUAAGCAAUUUUUAGAAGGGAGAGUUUGGCGUUCCUCAGAAGGAUGGCUCAAUAAAUUGUGGAAGAGAAUUGGUGGUCCUUUUUAUCACAGCCCCUUGUGGUGUGUCUGCAGAUUGCUGAAGUGGCAGUAGGGGGUGCUGUAAUUACACAGACAAAAUGAGGGACAGUCUGUGCCAAAAGUGCAAAUGAAGAAAUGAGACGGGUCAUCAUAACUUUGGCAGAUCUCAACAAACUACCUCAUUUUUAUUUAUUCUUAUUUUGUCAUCAGAGCAGGUACUUUUCACAGACCUCUGAUGCUGAAGGGUCCCCAAUCAUCCAUGUCUUUUCAAGUGCUGUAUUAUUUUUCAGGAAAAAAAGGUUACCAGACAAUUGCUUACAUUUGUUCUCAUAGUGUAUACCAUACAAAACCUUGGGGCUUGAAAUGUGACAGAUUUGUUAUUUUUCCAAGUCCUCUGAGAACUGAUAUUUUAAUGGGACAUCUUCAGUGGCAGUAACAGAAACAGCACAGUGGUAGCACCUGGAGACCUGGACCCUAGUGCACUAAGAGACCAUCUCUGCCCAAAUGUAUUAAGAUUGAAGUAUAAGAAAAGAAAGGAGCCCAAGAUGAUCACAAGAUGAUACUUAUGCCGUCACAGCACACAAACUCCCUAACCACAGUUGGAAAUUUGUGCAGAGAACACAGCAGAGGAAAAUAGUAAAGGUGGGAUUUGGAGGAGGACAAUAAGCUGUAAACACCUGUAAAGUAAUGCAUAAGGUGUAUCAUGGGAGAAGGCACAGAAGUAUCCAUCUAUAACUGUCCAAAGAUGCAUUCUGUGUAUGUUGAUGAAACAGAAGGAUGGAAGUGGAAAAACAAUAAUUGCACCACAUACCUUAGACUAAGUUCUUGGUUGUGACCCUUAUUUUCACCAUAUGCUUCUUGUGUGAACUUCAGAAGUUCCUUAACUUCCACUUAAAUUAUGCAAUGGCAAUAAUUAUCCCUCCCUUCUCCACAAGGUUGUUGUAAGGCUCUAUUCAUAUUUGUGAAAUGUAUCAAUUAACAUCGUAGAAGGGAUUUUUUCCUUUGGCCCACACACUGCUAAGCAACUUCUGGCAGCUACAGUAGCAGCUUUCUUUCAGUGCUUUUGUUUUAUUUACUGCUGUCUCUUCUCUAAGUGAAACCUCUACUGCAUUCAGAGGUACGAUUGUGUCAGUGUAGUCAUGCCCAAGCCAAUUUUAAUCUGACUAGCCUGGGUACAGGUAAGCAUUAUGGACAGGGAAGCAUGAGCUAUAAAAGCCUGGUUGGGACAUUAAGUAUGCGCUUGUGGGGCCGGCCUGCGCUGAAGCCAUGUGUUGUCUGGGUAGAUUAAAAGGAGCUCAGGUGUUGCAAUCACACUUCCAAUUGCAAUGUGGAUAUAUGCUCAGUCUCUUGCCAGAUCCCCAUCAGUCUUUACCAGAAAAAACAACUUGUCUGAGGGAAGUAUGGCAGAGAAUAAAGAGGAACUCAAGGGCAAACAAGCAUGGAGGAAAAGAUGGAAAAAUAUCUCAGGGGUAUAGAUGAGACGGAGAAACCACAGUGAAGGGAGAUGCUACAGACACCAAAAAAGAGCAUGUCAUCACAGACUGCAUAGUAAGAGUCAGGCAGAAACAGACUGCAAGGGACACUUCUGAAGAUGGUAGAGGUAAAAGCAAGUAUAUCACGUGUCUGCAGUAUACCCUCCUCCUAAGACAACAGUACAGUGAUGUCACAGUAGCAAAAGAAAUCAGUGGGUACUGAUACAUAGCAGAGGCAUUGCUCUUUCAUAACCUUAAGACAUGUCAUGUGAUUGGGGUCAGGCAAUAAAGAUAAGCCUCUUAGCAACACUUCUGUUUGCUGCACUUCAGAAUAUUGUGGCAGUAGAACACUAGAAUUUGGGGAAAAUGGAGCAAAUAAAACCACCUGAAUCAUUAAAUCUUGAAAGAAACCUGGCAGAGAACUGGAGGAGGUUGUAAUGCUUCCAAACUUUCCUGGAAGCAAGCAGCACUGCAGAGAAUCAGAGAAGGUGAAACCCUCCGUGCUGUUACAUGUGGUAGUAGAGGCAGGAAACACAAUAUGUAAAACCUAGAAGAACUAAAUUAAAUUCUUGAUCAUGCUUGGUAAACACUGAAUUAACUGGGGAAGAUUACUGCUCAUUAUGGACUCAUAUAUAGAUAUUUUAAAUUCAGCUAUUGCGUACCACAUUGAGCAGCAAUGUAAUACUGUAGUGUAAAUUACAGUUUGCUCAUCGUGAGACUCCAGAUAAGUUAAUAACAGAUAAUGACCCACAAUUCACAAGUGGCUCACUUGGCAACCCUCUUUGAUCUCCCAGUUCAAGCACACCACAUCAAACUCCAACUAUGCACAGUCAAAUGCGUUAGUGGAAAAACCACUAUGCAGAGCGCAGAACUUGAUAAUAAAAACAACAGAACCCUGACAUAUUCCUAGGGUCUGUAAUUAGCACUGUUAGAUACUGAAGCACACCUCUGCUUUAUUAGGAUCAUUAGUUCAAUGGAUAAUGGCCAGAAGAUAAAAAUUUUCAGUGCCAACAUCUUAUAGGUCCCUUGAGCUAAGUACAAUUAAUGCUGAAUUACAAAAAAACUCAAACCAAGCCAAAACAAAGCAAGAAAGAAACCUAUGUGCCAGGAAACAAUUAGAGAAAAUAAUACUAUGACAAGAAUGCCAAACAGUUACUCCCUUUACAAAUGGGAGAGAAAGAUAUAUUUUAAACAGAAAGUGACCAGCAGCCUGCCAAAAUAACAGGUUUGGACCAUCAGCAUCAAUCAGACACCCUAGCCUUGAAUGUGGGUCACUCCUACAAAAGAAGUAGAAGACAUCUAGACCCCCCCCCAAAAAAACCCAAGAUACUGGUUCUUUAUUUUCUGAGGUUAUUCAAAAUGCUACGAACAGCAUUCUUGGGCAGACAGAAGUAACAUUUGCCUAUCCAGUCACCAACAAUGAAAAACACCAGGAGCUCCAGGCCAGGUGUCAGAUCCUGCUGGCAGCCAAGCAAGAGAUUGCCAAAGGAACUGUUUUAAGAACAAGUAGCCAUGUGAUCAGAAAGGCAUCCAGAUUCACAAAAUGGUAGUUAUGGAAAAGAUGUUCCAGAAGAGGCAAAAACAUCUUCUCUCACAUCUUAGAAUUCAGGUCAUGUCUUCCAACUUCCAUCCUAGACAUUUUUAUUUGUAUGUUUUAUUAACUGGCUGUAUUUGUGAGUGCUUUAAUAAGUCCCUUUAACUAUUUUCACAUUUAAGAGCUGCUGUAUGGUUCCCUUAAUGCUUUUCUUAUGUCUCCAACUGUACCCCAAUUUGACACAAGGGUUGGGGGAAUGGGACAGGGGAAAGCUGAAUGAUCAUGGCCCUCCCCUGUCCUACAUUCUGAACAGGUUCUCAUAGGUGCAGAUAAAGCUGGGAUAAGUUCCUGAAAUUUUGCCUGCCUUCUCUUCUGCUUUGGCAGUGCCCUUGGUAGCAGUUUAUGUGUACAGGGCUGGGGUCUGGGAUAAAGCAGCUGGCUUUUCUUUGUCUGUGAUUCACCUGGGCUGUUAGAGGACAUGCGUCCAAGAAAAUACACAGCCGUUUUAAACAGAGUGUAACAUUUUAGCCCUUAAUACAUUGGGACACAAGUAGGGGAGCUAUUAGGAGCAGAGGAACAACGCAGAAUAAAGCAAAAAACCUACAAUUAAAAAUCAAAAGGCAGGAAGAGAAGGGGAAAAACGGACAAAAGGAGUGUUCCAACCAAACAGCUCUCAAGAGCCUGCAGUUAGUGAGAAGAGCAGAAGUAGCCUGUCUCCACACAGAAUUUUUGUAAAGUAAGACCUACCUCCAGCCACUGUUCAUCUCUAGGCUGCCUUUCAGCCCCAAUAGCCAAUACUCUUCUUUUAUUCAAACUAAGAGGUGGAACCCCUCCUUCACUCUCGCAACUGUUGGCUAACAAAUACUGGCUAACAACUGUUAGGCCUCUUGGCCCUAAUCAUGGAUGGAUACCAAGGGCUUCUUUCCAUUAGAAGGAGGGGUCUCCCUGCUCUCUGGCCUUCGAGCCGGGACAUUAAGAAGUGAACAUGGGGCCACAGACACAGGGACACUGUGUCUUCAUUCUUUCAUGCACACGCACAUACACACUUGUGACCUUCCCCUUCAUUAUCUCUUUUCUGAGAAAUCCCCAGAUUCUAGGAGAAUAAAUCCAAAGUUAUUAGAAAUUAAAAUAAUAAUAAUAAUUGAUAAUAGUAACUGCUUUGCACUUUAUUAUAGAGCCUCCCAUGUGAAGAACUCAAUGUACUUUGUAAACACUGAACCCCAAAUUCUCCUUACAGUUACAUUCCACUGAUGUCAGUGGAGUUGCAUGGUGUAACAUGGGGCAGAACUUUGUAUAUUUCUAACUGUAAGUACUUUAAACUGCGAUAUUUGGGGCAAAAAUAAUUUUCAUUAAAUAAUUCACAAAGUAUGGAGGUUGAUUCGGCUGCCAUUUAAGUUAAUUGCAAAACUUCCAUGACGUUCAGUGGUUCAAGAUCAGACAUGUACAGCACUGUGUACCCUACUGUAUAGACCAUACUUAUGAAACCUCACAGUUCAUCUCCCUGGUAGAAAGGGAUAAUAUGGUGGUCGCUCCCUUAUCAAUAGCAGAUUCUUUAUAUAGAGGCGUAAUAUCUGAUGUAAGAGUUAUGCAAAGCAGCAGUGAGCUAAAUAAGUUAAAGCUUUCUGGCUGCAUCCAGACAUGCACUUUAAUGUGCAGUAGCCUAUUUUGCUGCUUAUUAAAGCAUCACGUAAAAAACUGUGAUUAUGCUAAU